UACGUAGGGUGCAAGCGUUGUCCGGAAUUAUUGGGCGUAAAGAGCUCGUAGGCGGUCUGUCACGUCGGCUGUGAAAACCCGAGGCUCAACCUCGGGCCUGCAGUCGAUACGGGCAAACUAGAGUACUGCAGGGGAGACUGGAAUUCCUGGUGUAGCGGUGAAAUGCGCAGAUAUCAGGAAGAACACCCGUGGCUAAGGCGGCUCUCUAGUACGGUACUGACGCUGAGACGCGAAAGCGUGGGGAGCGAACAGG
rnacentral:rRNA from 1 species